rnacentral:rRNA from 1 species
GACGAACGCUGGCGGCGUGCUUAACACAUGCAAGUCGAACGGAAAGGCCCUGCUUGCCGGGUACUCGAGUGGCGAACGGGUGAGUAACACGUGGGUGAUCUGCCCUGCACGUCGGGAUAAGCCUGGGAAACUGGGUCUAAUACCGGAUAGGAGCCAUUGUUUGUGUGAUGGGUGGAAAGGUUUUUUCGGUGUAGGAUGAGCUCGCGGCCUAUCAGCUUGUUGGGGGGGGUAUGGCCUACCAAGGCGGCGACGGGUAGCCGGCCUGAGAGGGUGGACGGCCACAUUGGGACUGAGAGACGGCCCAGACUCGUACGGGAGGCAGAAGUGGGGAAUAUUGCACAAGGGGCGCAAGCCUGAUGAAGCGACGCCGCGUGGGGGAUGACGGCCUUCGGGUUGUAAACUCCUUUCGCUAGGGACGAGGCUUUUUGUGACGGUACCUAGAUAAGAAGCACCGGCUAACUACGUG